UAAGCAAUAGCCAUUAGUGAAAGAAAGGAAGACUAAACAUUUAUAAGUACUAUGAUUCAUUUUUGAUCAUAUACAUUGCAUUCAUUUACAUUCAUGAUUCUUUGUACCUCAUUACACAUUGCAUCAUUUCUUUCUUACAUCACAUUUACCUCAAAAUAAGCUUUACAUUCCUUUCUCAACAUCACUAGUCAUCAAAUACAAAAGAUGAAC
rnacentral:lncRNA from 1 species